AGUGUGCCCACGUCCUUCCCCUAAUUGCUUGGUGGUUGGUGGGCAGCUGCCUAGUUCCUAUUGGGUGAGUCUGAAACCUUUGCUUUUCCCCUUGGUUUGCAAUCAGGUGAGCGCAGCUCCUCUGGACUGCUGGAGUGGGAAUCCAAGAGCGAUGCCCUGGAGACUCUGGGCUUCCUGAACCAUUACCAGAUGAAAAACCCAAAUGGUCCAUACCCUUACACUCUGAAGUUGUGUUUCUCCACUGCUCAGCACGCCUCCUAAUUAGGUGCCUAGGAAGAGUCCCAUCUGAGCAGGAAGACAUUUCUCUUUCCUUUAUGCCAUUUUUUGUUUUUGUUAUUUGCAAAAGAUCUUGUAUUCCUUUUUUUUUUUUUUUUUUUUAAAUGCUAGGUUUGUAGAGGCUUAACCUUAAUGGAAACGCUGGAAGUCUGCAGGGGGAGGGAGAGGGGAACUGGUAUCUCCCAAGAUUAACCUUCACUUUUAAAAAAUUAUUGUACAUGUGAUUUUUUUUUUCCUGUUCAUACAUUUGUGCUGCCCAUGUACUCUUGGCACAUUUCAAUAAAAUUGUUUGGAAAAUAAA
rnacentral:sRNA from 1 species